rnacentral:tRNA from 2 species
GCCUCCGUAGCUCAGUUGGUAGAGCAGUUGACUCUUAAUCAAUUUGUCGUAGGUUCGAAUCCUACCGGGGGCACCA